CAAAAUGAGAGUUUGAUCCUGGCUCAGGACGAACGCUGGCGGCGUGCCUAAUACAUGCAAGUCGAGCGAGCUUGCCUAUAGAAGUUCUUCGGAAUGGAAAUAGAUACAAGCUAGCGGCGGAUGGGUGAGUAACGCGUGGGUAACCUGCCCUUAAGUCUGGGAUACCAUUUGGAAACAGAUGCUAAUACCAGAUAAAAGCUACUUUCGCAUGAAAGAAGUUUAAAAGGCGGCGUAAGCUGUCGCUAAAGGAUGGACCUGCGAUGCAUUAGCUAGUUGGUAAGGUAACGGCUUACCAAGGCGAUGAUGCAUAGCCGAGU
rnacentral:rRNA from 1 species